rnacentral:rRNA from 1 species
UACAGAGGGGGCAAGCGUUGUUCGGAAUUACUGGGCGUAAAGGGCGCGUAGGCGGCCUGCUAAGUCGAACGUGAAAUCCCUGGGCUCAACCCAGGAACUGCGUCCGGUACUGGUUGGCUUGAAUCCGGGAGAGGGAUGCGGAAUUCCAGGUGUAGCGGUGAAAUGCGUAGAUAUCUGGAGGAACAUCGGUGGCGAAGGCGGCAUCCUGGACCGGUAUUGACGCUGAGGCGCGAAAGCCAGGGGAGCAAACGGG